AAGCUUGCUUCUUUGCUGACGAGUGGCGGACGGGUGAGUAAUGCUUAGGGAUCUGCCCAGAGGUGGGGGACAACAGUUGGAAACGACUGCUAAUACCGCAUGAUGCCUACGGGCCAAAGGGGGCUUCGGCUCUCGCCUUUGGAGGAACCUAAGUGAGAUUAGCUAGUUGGUGAGGUAAUGGCUCACCAAGGCGACGAUCUCUAGCUGGUCUGAGAGGAUGAUCAGCCACACUGGAACUGAGACACGGUCCAGACUCCUACGGGAGGCAGCAGUGGGGAAUAUUGCACAAUGGGGGAAACCCUGAUGCAGCCAUGCCGCGUGUGUGAAGAAGGCCUUCGGGUUGUAAAGCACUUUCAGUAGCGAGGAAAAGUUAUUGGUUAAUACCCAAUAGCCUUGACGUUAACUACAGAAGAAGCACCGGCUAACUCCGUGCCAGCAGCCGCGGUAAUACGGAGGGUGCGAGCGUUAAUCGGAAUUACUGGGCGUAAAGCGCAUGCAGGCGGUCUGUUAAGCCAGAUGUGAAAGCCCGGGGCUCAACCCCGGAAUAGCAUUUGGAACUGGCAGACUAGAGUUUUGUAGAGGGGGGUAGAAUUUCAGGUGUAGCGGUGAAAUGCGUAGAGAUCUGAAGGAAUACCAGUGGCGAAGGCGGCCCCCUGGACAAAAACUGACGCUCAGAUGCG
rnacentral:rRNA from 1 species